CAUUCUCUUUACCCAAAAAAUAAAAUAUAAAAAAAGGCCAUCGGCCCAUAAGGGUAAAGGGCUGACGUAAGCAAGCAUCGUCCAUCAACUAGACGCUUCUUACCGUCGAUGCCCUAAUUUGAAGAGCCCUAUAAAUCUCUCUCUGCUUUUAUUACUCUUCAGAAGCGUGAAGCUGCUGUUUGCUGGAAGGUGUUUUAUCACACAUAAACCAAGUGUGGGGAUUCGCUUUCCAGGUGACUGAAUGUAGUUUUGCUGGCUGUAAUACCCCUACAUCACCUAACUUACUAGUUAAUAACAAGCAUCAAUAUUAAUUUAUAUGAUUGAUUACUUUAUAAUCUUGUUGGGGAGAGGUAUCUGAUUGUGAUAUUUAAGAUUAACUGUGUUGUUUUCUAUGUGGUGAAUUUUUCCCGUCAUUUUUUUUUUUAUUAUUUUUUUUUAUCAACAUUUUAUUUGCUCUUUUCUUGAACUCGGUAUAUUUGUUAGACCGGAUUGCAAAAAUGGUUUCAAUCAUAUGUCAAGUAUUUUUUUUUUAGGAAAUUGUUAAAUUCGUUCCUAAACUCGUAGCAGAGACGAUUCCUGUUGUUGUGUUUAAUCCCAGCAAAUAAUGAACUUCACUGCAAUCUGUACACACCUCAGAGUUGAUAAUAGUGUCCUGCGAGGCUUAGCUGAGAAUUGUAUGUUAAUAUAAUUCAUCUUUUGAGUUGGGGGAUUUAUUUUUCAGGAUGAAUUGUUUCGAGGGUUAAUGGAAAAAUAGAACUUGGUUAUUUUUAAAGUAAUACUCUGUUUGCUCCAAUUGUAUUGAAUUGUUUUCUUGUUUAUGGAGGGAGUUUGAACUUUUAAUUUGUGUGAGGGAGUGGAGAUGAAAUUGGGAAUUGUCAUUGUCUUGAUGGACAACUCUUUAGUGUUAUGUUUCAAUGAAUAAAGACAAUACGUAUUACAGGUUUAUGACUGUUACCGGAUUGUGAACGCUACGUGGAUGUGAGAACAAGGGAUCUAGAUAACAUUUGGUCUUUGAAAUGCAGUGCACUGAUUGUGGACAAUGACCCAUCGUCAUAAAAUUCGAAGUAGCAUCUUUUUCAAUGAACUGUCUUGAGCUUUGGGUUGAACAAUACAAGAACCAAAUUCUAUUUUUCCAUUACUUGAUUAUAUGUAUACAUGUGUGUGUGUAUAUAUAUAUAUUUAUAAUUUUAUUUUUUUUGGACAAAAAUGUUAAGGGUUAGUUGGUAGAGGAGGGGGUGGAUGCAAAGCUGAGCAAGGAGACACAAGGAGUAAUCUAACCAUUCGGCCCCUACGGCUUGCCACUGCUUGAUUAUAUAGCAGAGCUCAAUUGAUAAAACAACAUAAAUGUGUCUCGAAUUUUGUUUUGUGGGAAGGAAAUUUCUGUUGACCCAUUUCUGUGUUUGUGGGUAUACCUUGUUCUUUUGUAAUAUGGUAUAAGUAUGGUAUAUAAAUGGUGUUCUAAGGUUUGGAGUGGAA